GCAGUUGUGGCGGAAUUGGCAGACGCGCAAGACUAAGGAUCUUGUGGCCGGUAAGGCUGUACGGGUUCAAGUCCCGUCAACUGCA
rnacentral:tRNA from 1 species